AGACCCGAAACCCGGUGAUCUAGCCAUGGGCAGGUUGAAGGUUGGGUAACACUAACUGGAGGACCGAACCGACUAAUGUUGAAAAAUUAGCGGAUGACCUGUGGCUGGGGGUGAAAGGCCAAUCAAACCGGGAGAUAGCUGGUUCUCCCCGAAAGCUAUUUAGGUAGCGCCUCGUGAAUUCAUCUCCGGGGGUAGAGCACUGUUUCGGCUAGGGGGCCAUCCCGGCUUACCAACCCGAUGCAAACUGCGAAUACCGGAGAAUGUUAUCACGGGAGACACACGGCGGGUGCUAACGUCCGUCGUGAAGAGGGAAACAACCCAGACCGCCAGCUAAGGUCCCAAAGUCAUGGUUAAGUGGGAAACGAUGUGGGAAGGCCCAGACAGCCAGGAUGUUGGCUUAGAAGCAGCCAUCAUUUAAAGAAAGCGUAAUAGCUCACUGGUCGAGUCGGCCUGCGCGGAAGAUGUAACGGGGCUAAACCAUGCACCGAAGCUGCGGCAGCGACACUCAGGUGUUGUUGGGUAGGGGAGCGUUCUGUAAGCCUGCGAAGGUGGCCUGUGAGGGUUGCUGGAGGUAUCAGAAGUGCGAAUGCUGACAUAAGUAACG
rnacentral:rRNA from 1 species